rnacentral:rRNA from 1 species
UCCAGUUUAUCCUGCUGGAGGCUGCAGCUAUUUGGUUUGGAUUUAGACAUGCAAGUUUUUUGCCGUCGAAAGACAGGUGAAGGCGAAUCGUUCAGUAACAUGUAGUUAACCUGCCCUUGGGUCAGGGAUAAGCACGGGAAACUGUGUCUAAUACCUGAUAAGAGUUUAUUUCUGGAAAGAUUUUACUCUGAAAAUCACGCCUAAGGAUGGGACUGCAACUGAUUAGGUUGUUGGUGGGGUAACUGCCUACCAAGCCGAUGAUCAGUAGGGGCUCUUAGCGGAGUAGCCCCGAGAAGGAGUCUGAGACACUAUUCCUAGCCCUACGGGGUGCAGCAGUCGCGAAUUUUUUACAAUGCACGAAAGUGUGAUAGAGCGAACCAAAGUGCUUUCCUUUUUGGAAAGCUUUUGCCAGAUUUUAAAACGUCUGGCGAAUAAGGAGUGGGUAAGACCGGUGCCAGCCGCCGCGGUAAUACCGGCAGUCCAAGUUGCAGCCAACAUUAUUGGGUCUAAAACAUCCGUAGCUUGCCUAUUAAGUUUCUUGUGAAAUUCUACAUCUCAAGUGUGGAGCUUGCAAGAAAUACUGGUAGGCUAGAGACCGGUAGAUGUAAGGAGUACGUCCGAGGUAGUGGUUAAAUACGUUAAUCUUGGACGGACUAACAAUCAGCGAAGGCACCUUACAAGGACGGAUCUGACAGUGGGGGAUGUAGGCCAGGGUCGCGAAACGGAUUAGAUACCCGUGUAGCCCUGGCAGUAAACACUACUCACUAAACAUCGGGCCCUCUUCGGGAGGAUUCGGUGCUGAAGCGAAGGCGUAGAGUGAGUUACCUGGGAAGUAUAGUCGCAAGGUCGAAACUUAAAGGAAUUGGCGGGGGAGCACUACAACGAGUGACGCGUGCGGUUCAAUCAGAUUCUACACCGUGAACCUCACCAGGAGCGACAGCAGGAUGAAGGUCAGUCUGAAGGGCUUACCUGACACGCUGAGCGGAGCUGCAUGGCCGACGUCAGCCUGUGCUGUGAAGUGACCUGUUAAAUCAGGUAACAGGCGAGACCCGUGUGUAUAAUUACUAUCGAAAGAGGUACAUUAUACAGACUGCCUUGGUAACAAGGAGGAAGGUGCGGGCUACGUCAGGUGGUACAGCCUUAAUCCCCUGGGCUACACGCGCGGCAAUGGUAGAUUCAAUGGGAUGCGACUCUGAAAGGAGAAGCUAAUCCUCUAAAACCUAUCUUAGUACAGAUUGAGGGUUGCAACCCACCCUCAUGACGAUGGAAUUCGUAGUAAUCGGAUGUUAGCAGCGUUCGGUGAAUAUGUCACGGCUCCUUGCACACACCGCCCGUCAAACCAACCGAGUUAUGCAGGGUUGAAGUUCGUAUGAAAAGAGACUUUGUAUGACAAGGUAGGUUAAGUCGACACAAGGU